UACGUAGGGUGCGAGCGUUGUCCGGAAUUAUUGGGCGUAAAGAGCUCGUAGGCGGUGUGUCACGUCGGCCGUGAAAACCUGCAGCUUAACUGUGGGCGUGCGGUCGAUACGGGGCAUCACUGGAGUUCGGCAGGGGAGACUGGAAUUCCUGGUGUAGCGGUGAAAUGCGCAGAUAUCAGGAGGAACACCGGUGGCGAAGGCGGGUCUCUGGGCCGAUACUGACGCUGAGGAGCGAAAGCGUGGGUAGCAAACAGG
rnacentral:rRNA from 1 species